AUUGAACGCUGGCGGCAUGCUUUACACAUGCAAGUCGAACGGUAACAAGUCUUCGGAUGCUGACGAGUGGCGAACGGGUGAGUAAUGCAUCGGAACGUGCCCAGUCGUGGGGGAUAACGCAGCGAAAGCUGCGCUGAUACCGCAUACGAUCUAUGGAUGAAAGCGGGGGACCGUAAGGCCUCGCGCGAUUGGAGCGGCCGAUGUCAGAUUAGGUAGUUGGUGGGGUAAAGGCCCACCAAGCCAACGAUCUGUAGCUGGUCUGAGAGGACGACCAGCCACACUGGGACUGAGACACGGCCCAGACUCCUACGGGAGGCAGCAGUGGGGAAUUUUGGACAAUGGGCGCAAGCCUGAUCCAGCAAUGCCGCGUGCAGGAAGAAGGCCUUCGGGUUGUAAACUGCUUUUGUACGGAACGAAACGGCUCUCUCUAAUACAGAGGGCUAAUGACGGUACCGUAAGAAUAAGCACCGGCUAACUACGUGCCAGCAGCCGCAGUAC
rnacentral:rRNA from 1 species